ACAACAGAUCGCUCUCCCCCUCUCUCUCUCUCUCUCUCUCUCUCUCUCUAAAGGAGCAGCUUUUGAAGAUUCAUUUGAGGAAGGGUUAAGGGUUGAGGGAUAAUGGGUAAAGCUUCAGUGAUCAUCUACAUUGCCAUAGCUCUUCUCCUUCUCUUCCUUAUCUCACACUCUCCUAAAGGACCCAAAAAUCACCGCCAUCGCCGCCUGAAGCUUCGCUCAACCUUCACCUUCGACAAGCAACAUCACGAACCCGUCGUAUUCGACCCUCUGAUCGCAGACAUAGAACGUCGCCGAGAGGACAAAGAAUGGGAAAAGAGGUAUAUCGAGCAUGCACAUAAGGAAUUCCUAGAAGAAGCCCCGGGAGCUGAAGCUCAACCAGAAUGGGAAGAUUUCAUGAACGCAGAGGAUUACCUGAACAAUGAGGAACGCUUCAAUAUUUCUAGUAGGUUGGUGUUGCUGUUUCCGAAGAUUGAUGCCGACCCGGUUGAUGGGUUUGUGACGGAAAAGGAGUUGACGGACUGGAAUUUGCAGCAGGCGGAGAAGGAUGUGAUGCAUAGGAGUGAGAGGGAUAUGGAACUUCAUGAUAAGAAUCGUGAUGGGUUUGUUUCGUUUGCGGAGUAUGAGCCUCCCAGUUGGGUUCGAAAUUCAGAUAAUGCUUCAUUUGGGUAUGAUAUGGGUUGGUGGAAAGAGGAACACUUCAAUGCUUCAGAUGCAGAUGGGGAUGGUCUUCUGAACCGGACGGAGUUUAAUGACUUCCAGCAUCCAGCUGACAGCAAUAACCCGAAACUAAUUCGGUGGUUGUGCAAAGAGGAAGUAAGGGAGAGAGAUACCGACAAAGAUGGGAAGAUUAACUUCAACGAAUUUUUCCAUGGACUGUUUGACAUGGUAAGAAACUAUGAUGAAGAAGGUCACAAUUCUUCGCAUCUUACUGAUGAUUCAAUGGAAGCGCCAGCUAAAAGAUUGUUUUCCCAGCUUGAUCAAGAUGGUGAUGGGUAUUUGUCAGAAGAGGAACUGCUACCCAUCAUUGGAAAACUUCAUCCAUCAGAGAGAUAUUAUGCAAAACAACAGGCAGAAUAUAUCAUAUCACAGGCAGAUACAGAUAAAGAUGGGCGCCUAACCUUGGCAGAGAUGAUUGAUAGCCCAUAUGUAUUUUAUAGUGCUAUUUUCAAUGAUGAAGAUGAUUAUGAUUACCAUGACGAAUUCCGUUAAUUUCAACCUAGGAGACUCACACCUCUAGAGUUCAAAUUCUUUUUGUAAGGUUUCUGGGAUGUAGUGUCACCAAAGACUGCCAACAACAUUUUCAUUGUGAACUUGGUGUUCCUGCAAUUCCAUCAAUGAGUUGUGUCUGUAGUUUAAAUUCAGUAUUGGUUGGCAGUCCAGGUCUCAACAAGCAUGUGAACUUGGGUCUGGUUCUUUCACCCUUCUUAGGGUUUACACUUAUGAUAGCUGUUUUUCUUCAGGAUAUCUACUUUCUGUCAAGCAUCAAGCUUAAUAUAUGAGUAUCAUAGGAUAUUAAAUACACCCAUUUCCCAUGGGCAUAGUGAAAAACAACCUUCUGGUUUCCACUUUUGUAUGGUGUCAAAACUGGUUGGUUAAGAAUGACUUGAAGAGAAAUCUAGUUUCAGUUUGAGAGCAUAGUUUAAUUUUCUGUAACUGAUG